CUAGUGGAGGGAGCUUUCCCGCGGAUGGGUAUGGCGGUGAGCGUUAGGUGAAAGCUUCGUCGCCCCAUGAAGAGGCUUAGACUGAGUUUUGGCAUUUCCCUGUGAGACGCUGCCCCUUAGGCAAAUGCAUCUGUCAUGGUUAAGCACCUGGGUUUAAAUGUAAUGUUUGAGGCUUACUGAAUCCUCACAGAUUCGUUGGCACCUGGAUGGCUAAGUCUUCAAGUUAUAAAACAAGAUCACAAGCCAAAAAGUAACAUAGGAAAUAAUAAAGACUGGAUCAUGUUAUCAGAUUUUACUGUUUCAUAUACAGAAGGCUAUCGGACUGUUUUGCCAGAUUCUAAAUGACAACUUUUAAGUCAGAGCCUUGAAAUCUAUAGAAGUCCAGUAUAUUCUGAGGUAUAUUGCAUACUAAUGGACAGCAGCAAGAGAUACAUCUGGUGGACUAAAAAGAUCCAGUGAAAAUUAAAAGACACAACACUCAGAACAACUGAUAGG